CAGGCUUCUUUAACUAAAAGGGAAGGGGUGUUUGCCUGGCUGUUGUGAACUUCUUGCUGCUGAAAUCCUUUGUUCCUCAACUGUCCUCCUAGGUAUGGUCACAAUGUUCCUACAAACCUUCAACAAGGCAAAUGUUAUUCUCUGUUCUGCAACUUCUUAUCUCUGUAUGAGGGGGAAAGUGUUAUACCUUAAAAGAUCGGAGCGUUGAGAUGGCUAUCCAGUAUCUCUUGGCUAUAGGCAACAUUCUUUUAGUGAUUAACUUGUAGGCAAAAGCAAUAGGAUACCAAUGUUAAAGGAAAAGAAACAGAUCCAAUAUGGAGUCAGAUUUGUUCUCUAUUACAGUGGGGGUACUCUUAGCCCCUUUGCCUUUGAGAUCUCCCCUAUCCCUGGGUGCCUCGGGCAACUGUUUAUGAGAACCAAGUGAGGUUGUUGGUGAACUCAUUUCUGAUUGUUUAUAUGAAAACAAAUACAAAGGGAAUUUGUGUUCUGGUCCUCUUGCACCCCCUUCUCUGGGGCAUCACCGUCCUAGACUCCGAAGUCAUUGUGGUUCCUGCCAUUUUUCUACCUUGACGUCUGAUGGCAGAAUGAAUGAGACCCUUUAGUGUCCUGGACUUUGUUUUCUAUAACUUGCCUUCCUCUACUAGCCACAUCAACAUGUUACAAAUUGCUUUUACAUAUUUCUUUCAUUUGAACUCUCUUCCCAACCCAGGGAUCGAACCCAGGUCUCCUGCAUUGCAGGUGGAUUCUUUACCGUCUGAGCCACCAAGGAAGCCCUUUCAUUUGAACUCAGUACCUCUGGAAAGCAGGUGGUGUGUCCUUGGACAGAUGGGUUUAUUGAGGGCAGAUGCCGAGACUCUGUAACAACACAGAACCAAGAAGGUCAUCUAACCCUUACAGUCCUCAGCGGAGUCCAGCCGUGAAUCUGUUCCAUUUCUAAUUCCUCAACUGGGUUUUCUUAAUUGCACUGAGGUAUUUUUCUUACCCUGAUCACAAUGUUUGCCUUAAAUCUCAUAAAGUUCAGUGUGUUCCUGCU
rnacentral:lncRNA from 1 species